rnacentral:rRNA from 1 species
UGCAGUCGAACGGUAGAGGAGCAAUCCUCGAGAGUGGCGAACGGGUGAGUAAUACAUCGGAACGUGCCCAGUCGUGGGGGAUAACGUAGCGAAAGCUACGCUAAUACCGCAUACGACCCGAGGGUGAAAGCGGGGGACUCGCAAGAGCCUCGCGCGAUUGGAGCGGCCGAUGGCAGAUUAGGUAGUUGGUGGGGUAAAGGCCCACCAAGCCUGCGAUCUGUAGCUGGUCUGAGAGGACGACCAGCCACACUGGGACUGAGACACGGCCCAGACUCCUACGGGAGGCAGCAGUGGGGAAUUUUGGACAAUGGGCGAAAGCCUGAUCCAGCCAUACCGCGUGCGGGAAGAAGGCCUUCGGGUUGUAAACCGCUUUUGUCAGGGAAGAAAUACUUCGGGCUAAUACCCUGGGGUGAUGACGGUACCUGAAGAAUAAGCACCGGCUAACUACGUGCCAGCAGCCGCGGUAAUACGUAGGGUGCAAGCGUUAAUUGGAAUUACUGGGCGUAAAGCGUGCGCAGGCGGUUCUAUAAGACAGAUGUGAAAUCCCCGGGCUCAACCUGGGAACUGCAUUUGUGACUGUAGAGCUAGAGUACGGUAGAGGGGGAUGGAAUUCCGCGUGUAGCAGUGAAAUGCGUAGAUAUGCGGAGGAACACCGAUGGCGAAGGCAAUCCCCUGGACCUGUACUGACGCUCAUGCACG